AAGACUAGAUGGAGUAUCCCUACAUAGCGGGUGGGACCCACGGCGAAUGGUUCAUCAAGUCUUCAAAAAAGAAUAUAUACGAUUGCAUUGCAUAUACUAACGGAUGCGAUCAUACCAGCACUAAUGCACCGGAUCCCAUUAGAACUCUGCAGUUAAGCGUGCUUGGGCGAGAGUAGUACUAGGAUGGGUGACCUCCCGGGAAGUCCUCGUGUUGCAUCCCUCUUUUAUGUUUAACCUUUUUU
rnacentral:rRNA from 1 species